GCCCUGUUGGCUCAGUGGUAGAGCGCGUCACUAGUAUUCAGUAAUGAUGAGGUCACUGGUUCGACUCCAGUACAGGGCA
rfam:Neonectria ditissima strain R09/05 contig_8, whole genome shotgun sequence.